rnacentral:rRNA from 1 species
AUGAGUAAAUUACUUGCCAUAGCACUCCUGCUGCUGUCUCUGAUCAACCACAGAAUCUACUUGGCCACGGCAUGGGAUGAUAAAGAUUUCUUCAAAUACUGCCCACCGUCCAACUGCAGCCAACAUGGUCCAGAGGUCAGGUUUCCUUUCUGCCUUGAAUCCAGCAAUAAAUCGUCGUCAUCAUCAUCAUCAUGUGGAUGUGCCGGCAGAUCAAUCAGGAAGUUAGCAUGCUCUGGUCAAGACACCAUCCUAGUUCACCCAGUUCUUGGCCCAUACAAUGUCAGCGCCAUAGAUUACAUAUAUUCUUCCAUGAAGAUCAUCCCGCUUGUAGACCCCUGUAUGGUGCUACAGCAGAAGCUCGUCAUCUCCAGAAGCUCGUCAUCUCCACAGGUUGAUGUUAUCAACGAUGAGAAGCCAAGUCUUCAAUUUUUCGAAUGGACUUCUACUGCCCUAGUACGCUGUUCAAGAGAGUUCACACCUGGUGUUGCCGAUAGAAUUGCUGGCCCAGUCUCCUGCAUUAGCAACACAACCCACUUCUUGUAUUUGGUGGCUGGCUAUGAAGACAUGUCUCUUCUUCCGUUGGACUGCAAGGUCGUCCCACUCUCAGAUGGUGUCGGUGGCGGCCUGAUACCCAUGUAUGAGUUUGACGACCCAACGUCAGACAAGCUCUCAGUGUCCUUCAAGGAACGCACAGAGAGAAUGCUCAGUUUUGCUGAGACGACAGUGUAUUUGUUUAAUUACUUUUGCGCAGAAUGUGAACGCAGUGGGGGACGCUGCGCGUUCAGCUCACAAAGGGAUAGACGAUUCUGCAUGCCAGGCCCACAUGGUUCACGUAUCAAAGUCAUUGCAGCUACAUCAUCGGUGGCUGCAUUUGUUGUUCUUUUGUUGACGGUGGCCACUGUGCUUUAUCUUUCACUCAAGACAAGAUAUAAUGCGGAGAUACAUAUGAAGGUUGAAAUGUUUCUCAAGACAUAUGGAACAUCAAAACCGACAAGGUACACUUUCUCUGAAGUUAAGAAGAUGGCACGACGGUUUAAGGAAAAAGUAGGGCAGGGAGGAUUUGGAAGUGUGUACAAAGGCGAGCUACCAAAUGGAGUGCCUGUGGCAGUCAAGAUGCUAGAGAACUCUACAGGAGAGGGAGAAUCAUUCAUCAAUGAAGUUGCAACCAUCGGAUUAAUCCACCAUGCCAAUAUCGUCCGCCUCCUGGGGUUUUGUUCCGAAGGGAUGAGACGGGCUCUUAUUUAUGAAUUCAUGCCUAAUGAGUCACUAGAGAAAUACAUAUUCUCUGAUGACUCUAAUAUUUUUCAGAAUCUUCUAGUACCAGAGAAGCUCCUAGAUAUUGCUUUAGGCAUCGCCCGAGGUAUGGAGUACUUACAUCAAGGGUGCAACCAGCGCAUCCUCCACUUUGACAUCAAGCCUCACAAUAUCUUGCUGGAUUACAACUUCAAUCCAAAGAUCUCAGACUUUGGCCUGGCCAAGUUGUGUGCAAGGGACCAAAGCAUCGUCACCUUAACAGCAGCAAGAGGCACAAUGGGCUAUAUUGCACCAGAGCUAUACUCUCGGAACUUUGGGGGAGUAUCGUACAAGUCAGACGUGUACAGUUUCGGCAUGCUGGUGCUAGAAAUGGUGAGCGGGAGGAGGAAUUUAGACCCAAGAAUCGGGAGCCAGGACGAUGUUUACCUCCCUGAGUGGAUCUACGAGAAAGUGAUCAAUGGGGAGGAGUUGGCGCUUACUUUGGAAACGACUCAAGAAGAGAAAGACAAGGUGAGGCAGCUGGCUAUGGCGGCACUGUGGUGCAUCCAGUGGAACCCGAGAAACCGGCCGUCGAUGACAAAGGUCGUGAACAUGUUAACGGGGAGGCUGCAGAGUUUGCAGAUGCCCCCGAAGCCUUUUGUCUCAUAUGAAAAUGAACCUAUGCCAUAA